UCAAGUUCCAUCAAUAAAUUUGUAAUUGAUUACGUUUCAAAUACAAUCCUAAACAGUGUGGCAGCAUAGAAAAGAGGUCCUGCGUCGCUAGAUAUAAAACCCCCCCUAAUCCAAGGUUUAGCACGUUAAAAGUUACUCUCUCUCAAGAAGAAUGAGUGGGGAUAAAAACAAGAAGGGACGAGUCCAGUCUCGGAACUCGGAAAUGCGACACGAAAGCAAAGCCUGCGGAGCACACGCGGUCGAGGAAGGAGAUAAGAUGGCGGAUGAGGCCUUGCCUGCUACAAUUAGCUCACUAAGAAAGGUGGUGAGUGAAGUAAUGGCGGAGGGCAUGCAGGACCUCAAAUCAGAAAUGAAGAAGGAGUUAGCGCAAGUGAGAAUGAGCUUAAAGGAGGAAAUUAAAGUCCUAUCACAGCGGAGGCGAUCAACAAUCUUCUGUCAAUGGAUAUAGUGGGACCACGACGCGUUGGGAGCGCGCCUGGCCUGCGACAGAGCGCACGGGAAAAGCUGAAGGUGUUUCAGCGGCCAGGCGGAGAGGACGUUGCUAUGGUGGAAUAAUCUUCCUUAUCCCCACCGAAGAAACAAUUGAUCAUCUUGCAGCGAGAGAAGCAGACCAUCUGAUUAGUACCAGUGUGUCACGGGGUGGCUGUCUCUGCGCAGGAGUAUGGUGAGGACUGUGACCCCCCCUUCAUAAUUGGAGUAAUGAAGAACCGAUGCAGGUGACUCUUAAAUUAGUUUUUUCAGUUUCCUUCCUUUAAGUAGGCAACUAGGCAGGGGCCCCACUUAGUGGCACUUCCCCCUACAUUAAGAGGAAUAAGGGAUCCUCCUAUUUGGAAGACCUGUUCAUUGUUAUGACAAGUUCUGGUUUUAUGUUUUUCUGUUUUUUGUGUGUUCUGAGGGCUAGGAGUGUUGUCAUGCAGGUGGAAAAAAAUAUAUUGGUGUCUAGAGGAUAUGCAGUGUUAUAAUAUACAGACUCUGAAUGUGAAUGGUAUAAAAAAUCCCAUUAAAAGAAGCAAGAUCAUUUCAAAGCUUAAACGAGAGCAGGUUGGCAUUGGUUUCUUACAGGAAACACAUUUGUCAAAUGAAGAACAUGAGAAAAUAAAGAAAAUGGGUUAUAGAAAAACAUAUUUUGCUUCUCACAGAUCGGG